rnacentral:rRNA from 1 species
ACCUUAAAGCUAGCCUAACCGAUCGUAUAAACAUAACCUUAUCAAUUAUACCCACACCACUAUCUUUAAAUUAAAACAUUUUAUACCUUUUAGUAUGGGUGACAGAACAAUAA